rnacentral:rRNA from 1 species
UUUGGUGGCGAUAGCGAAGAGGUCACACCCGUUCCCAUACCGAACACGGAAGUUAAGCUCUCUAGCGCCGAUGGUAGUCGGGGGYUUSCCCCUGUGAGAGUAGGACGUCGCCAAGC